CCUACACAAAGGAUUCAUUAUGUGAACUAACAUGGCAAGUUUACUUUGUAGCAUGGUAAAUUUAGUUUUAUAGCAUUUUAACCUGACAUAUCGAUAUCUUAUUGCUCUUCAAAGGUAUCUAAAAGUUGUGUUCUCUGCAAACAGAUGGGUGAUGUUAGUCAAUAAAAUACCUAAGAUGUCAGUUUUGUUGCCAAAUAUUGUAAUCCCAGAUUUACAGAGUUCUAGAAUAGAAGAUGAUCUGGUGGUUACCUCUCUAUUAUUUACUCGAAUGACUGCACUUAUAUCUUACGUUCAAACUUUACCCGAUCUUGGUUUAGUUUCCAUCUCCAAUCAGAUUAAUGGUUUGCAGACCAAAGCCAAUGUUUUAUGGAGUUCUUAUUCCUAAUUUAGUUAUACAUUUCAUUUGUAGUUUCUUGGUAGAUAAUAAGCAGUGGCAGAUGAACCAAUAAGUUAUCUGUGCCCAUGCUUUAUUAGUCCAUGAUAUCAUACAGUUUGAAGUCAAAAAAAUCAUGAUAUGGGUGAUAUGGAAAAGUCAUUGCCUUCUUUGCUGGAACAUUCCCUGAUUGCCUGGACUUCUUGGGUCAAUCGCUGGACGCCACCCCCGUCUCCUGGACGUCAUGACGCCGCCGAUUUCCUUGACGCCGCGUGCCACCGAUCUUCUAUAUCUCAAUUUCUCCAAUUUCUCUCGGCUGUGAGCUCAUAUAUAUUUUUGAGCUGUGAACUUAUUAUGUAAACUCAACACUUUGUUUUGUGACAAGUGAACUCAUUUCAUAUUCAUCUAUCAAUCAUGGUUGAAGUGUC